GGUUUCACGGAUGCCCUGUGCUGAUGACCGAACGCUUCUUCGGUUGGUAAGGAGGUAUUCAUCUUGAUUUUUUGUCGAGGAUUGAGAAAGGUAUCUUCACCUCAGGUAUUAUUUUACCUUGAUCUAUUAUCGAGGCUGAGAUUGGUAGAUCUGAUUGGAUCUUGGUUGCCUUCUAUUCGAUACUCUGUUGACUUCUUGUUGGUUUCGGUUAAAGGUAUUUUAUACCUCAUAUUGUACCUAUUUUUCGGGAUGGAUUUAUAGUAGAUUGCUCCUCCUCCCCGUGGAUGUAGGCCUCUUAUGCCGAACCACGUAAAUCUUGGUUUCUUUGUCUUUGUUUAAUUAUGCCUGCAAUGUGUUUGGUGAAUUGUCUCAAAGAGAUUAGACUUUAGAUCA
rnacentral:lncRNA from 1 species